GACGAACGCUGGCGGCGUGCUUAACACAUGCAAGUCGAACGGAAAGGCCUCAGCUUGCUGGGGUACUCGAGUGGCGAACGGGUGAGUAACACGUGGGUGAUCUGCCAUGCACUCUGGGAUAAGCUUGGGAAACUGGGUCUAACACCGGAUAUGAACUGCCUUUAGUGUGGUGGUUGGAAAGUUUUUUCGGUGCAAGAUGAGCUCGCGGCCUAUCAGCUUGUUGGUGGGGUAAUGGCCUACCAAGGCGUCGACGGGUAGCCGGCCUGAGAGGGUGUACGGCCACAUUGGGACUGAGAUACGGCCCAGACUCCUACGGGAGGCAGCAGUGGGGAAUAUUGCACAAUGGGCGGAAGCCUGAUGCAGCGACGCCGCGUGGGGGAUGACGGCCUUCGGGUUGUAAACUCCUUUCGACAGGGACGAAGCUUUUUGUGACGGUACCUGUAUAAGAAGCACCGGCUAACUACGUG
rnacentral:rRNA from 1 species